GAUGAACGCUGGCGGCGUGCCUAACACAUGCAAGUCGAACGGACGAGAAGAGCUUGCUCUUCGAGUUAGUGGCGGACGGGUGAGUAACGCGUGAGCAAUCUGCCUUUCAGAGGGGGGAUAACAUUGGGAAACCGGUGCUAAUACCGCAUGAUGUGCGAGGGUCGCAUGACUCUUGUACCAAAGAUUUAUCGGCAAAGGAUGGGCCUGCGUCUGAUUAGCUAGUUGGUGAGGUAACGGCUCACCAAGGCGACGAUCAGUAGCCGACCUGAGAGGGUGAUCGGCCACAUUGGAACUGAGACACGGUCCAAACUCCUACGGGAGGCAGCAGUGGGGAAUAUUGCACAAUGGGCGAAAGCCUGAUGCAGCAACGCCGCGUGAGCGAAGAAGGCCUUCGGGUUGUAAAGCUCUGUCCUUGGGGAAGAUAAUGACGGUACCCUUGGAGGAAGCCCCGGCUAACUACGUG
rnacentral:rRNA from 1 species